rnacentral:rRNA from 1 species
CACUCCUGCGGGAGGCAGCAGUGGGGAAUAUUGGACAAUGGGCGCAAGCCUGAUCCAGCCAUGCCGCGUGAGUGAUGAAGGCCCUAGGGUUGUAAAGCUCUUUCACCGGAGAAGAUAAUGACGGUAUCCGGAGAAGAAGCCCCGGCUAACUUCGUGCCAGCAGCCGCGGUAAUACGAAGGGGGCUAGCGUUGUUCGGAAUUACUGGGCGUAAAGCGCACGUAGGCGGAUCGAUCAGUCAGGGGUGAAAUCCCAGGGCUCAACCCUGGAACUGCCUUUGAUACUGUCGAUCUGGAGUAUGGAAGAGGUGAGUGGAAUUCCGAGUGUAGAGGUGAAAUUCGUAGAUAUUCGGAGGAACACCAGUGGCGAAGGCGGCUCACUGGUCCAUUACUGACGCUGAGGUGCGAAAGCGUGGGGAGCAAACAGGAUUAGAAACCCCUGUAGUCCCAUG